rnacentral:tRNA from 1 species
UCCCGUGUGGCUCAGUUGGUAGAGCACGGUGUUUGCAACGCCAGGGUUGUGGGUUCGAUUCCCAAAGGGGGAC